AAAAUCCAUGUUUUUGCCAUGAAACCUGCUCCUGGGCCUGGCUGGCGAACCAGAUAGGAGUGGAGGUGGCUUCUGUGCCUCAAGGCAAACCCAGCAGAUGUGUUUUCCAGGUAGGCUGCCCAGGGCUUGGCCCCCAGCCCAGGCAGGACCCACCAGCUGAAGGCUCUUUGUGGUCCCUGUGGCAGCAAAGCAGGAACACCCACAGGCUCCACAGCUCCAGGGGCUCCUGGUGUCCACAGCAGGUCCCUGCAGGAAAUGUAGACCCCAGGAACACCAAGUCCCUGAUGCAGUAUGCUAGGAAUCCAGGCAGGGCUUUUCUGGAAAAGCUGUAGGAGUUGGGAAGUUUUCCAAUCAAGCACAUGAGGCUCAACAAAGGAGUGUUUUUCCCUUUCUGCUCAGUGAUGCAGAUGCCCGAGCACAGGACUUCAGGAGCUGCAGAAAGAGUCAAAAGUAGUAUGCUAUAGAAGAACAAGCUCCUUGUGCAGGCUAGACUUCUAGAAGCAGGGAAACAGCAACAAGGCAAAUUGAAGAACCAGUGGGAGUGGAGGAAUGAAGAGUCUAAUGAAGGGGGACGGGGAGGACACCCUUGCAAUACUGUUUGUGUUGCAAUCCAAAGGCUAGUUUGGAAAGCUCAGAUCAGCUGGAUGCAAAGCCCCAGCACUGAAACAUGUGGUUGUCAUGAGCCUGUGCUCCUCUGCUCUGUGACACCAGCCAUCUCCUCUGCCAGCUGGUAGGUGCUAAGGUAGUGGGCAAACAACAUUGUGGGCGAGUAAUCCUGAUGAUAUACACACUAGCUGCCAGGGCUUUGGCCACUGGUGAGGUCUGACAUUGCAAGACUUCUGGAAGAUGUCCCCACCCAUUGCAAGGGCAUGGACAAGGUAGACUUAGGUGUAAGACCCUGGAAGAUGGUGGCAGUUUUUAGCUGUCCUUUGGGAAAACACCAAGACAAUUUUACAUCACUGUCGCUUCAUUGGCUGCCCCAAAGUCACUCCAAGUGUCUCCAUGCUCAGGACAAAGGCUCGAGCUCUUUCAGUCUGGUUACUCAACUAGAUUUGUAAAUCUGCUGCUUUUGAGCAACUUCAGGUUACUGACAGUUCUGGGGUUUUCUCUUAAGAAGUCCUUCAUUAACUUCUGUCCCUCAGUAAUGCCAUUAUUUCUGCUUCUGCCUCAUAUUAAAAGGAUUCUGAGCUUGUAUAAAUGUUUCACAAGGAGCUGUCAACAGGUCUCUUGGCUAUUUCUGUGAUCUUAAUUGUCAGUUUUCAGUGCUUUAAUAUUCUUUAGCUAUAUGUUCAGAGCAACACAGAAAACAAAGCCAAAUUUAUUACAAGAAGCUGAUGUGCAAAUCAGAAACUGAAUCUGAAAAAGGCAUUGGGCAUGGAUGAUUUCUUAAAUUAUUGAGUUGGAGAAGCCAAGAAAUCCAACAGGCUGAGUCUAUUCCAAAAACAUCUUGAGGUCUCUUACUCCUUUGAAAUAUCUAAGCAAUAUAAAUGAGCAUGUAAUUCCCACUGACAGAAGUUCCCUGCAUAGUAUACAGAGCUCUGGCACC
rnacentral:lncRNA from 1 species